CUGAUCGGGGAAGCUUCAUGUCAGGAAAAAGUGUCCAUAAUCAAAGGUUUUCACUCUUUUGUAUUUUGGAUACUUUUACCAAACUAAUAAAGAGGAUUGAACGUUUGUGGCGGGAUGUCAGAACAUGUGUGAUAUCAAAAUAUUACAACACACUCCACAGCCUAGAGAAGGAUCACCUUCUUGAUGUGUCCUCCAGAGCUCAUAUGUGAAAGUGACAUACUCCGACCCUGUCCCUGUCACGGAUCCAUCAGCGUCAGCACCAGAUACCUUCACUCCGCCUACUCGUUCCGGUUCCCCUGACUACUAAUCAUCACCACCUGCCGUCACCACCUGCCAUCACUUAUCCGGACUAUCAUCCACUCCAUAUAUACUCACCUCAUUCAGUCACUCACUGUCUGGUCUCGUCUUUACCACGACUACAGACUCCCUAUCGCUAUCUCACGUU